UACGUAGGGGGCAAGCGUUGUCCGGAUUUAUUGGGCGUAAAGAGCGUGUAGGCGGCCAGACAGGUCAGCUGUGAAAACUCGAGGCUCAACCUCGAGACGUCGGUUGAAACCAUCUGGCUAGAGUCCGGAAGAGGAGUGUGGAAUUCCCGGUGUAGCGGUGAAAUGCGCAGAUAUCGGGAAGAACACCCGUGGCGAAGGCGGCUACCUGGACCAGCACUGACACUGAAGCACGAAAGCGUGGGGAGCAAACAGG
rnacentral:rRNA from 1 species